rnacentral:rRNA from 1 species
UACGUAGGGUCCGAGCGUUGUCCGGAAUUACUGGGCGUAAAGAGCUCGUAGGUGGUUUGUCGCGUUGUUCGUGAAAACUCACAGCUCAACUGUGGGCGUGCGGGCGAUACGGGCAGACUAGAGUACUGCAGGGGAGACUGGAAUUCCUGGUGUAGCGGUGGAAUGCGCAGAUAUCAGGAGGAACACCCGUGGCGAAGGCGGCUCUCUGGAACGCAACUGACGCUGAGACGCGAAAGCGUGGGGAGCAAACAGG